UGCUAUAAAAUGAGGAAGUUAGACUCGAUGCCUUUCUAAGGUCUUUCCUGGCUUUGAAUUUAUGAUGAUCUCACAGUAGACACCUACCACCUGAGGCUGAACUUCCCUGAAGCUGUUGGGCAAAGGUGGGUAGCUGGAGGUUUGUAUUAUCACCCUUCCUUUCUAGGUUGGAUGCUAUGGCUUUACCCAGGCUGUUCAAUGCACAUUUGGUUUUGGUUACUAGAGUAGCCAGAAGGAAAUGAAAGCCAUAAGUAGCAGUGGAGACAAUAUGAGAUCUGGAGUCAGGGCACUGGGUUUGAAUCUUAGCUCUUCCUUCUUACGUAAGGGACUUUAGAUAAGUCAUCCCCCUUCUCCAGGCUUUCGAACGCUCAUCUCUAAAAUGCAGGAGUUAGGCUAGACCAUUCCCAAAGUCUUUCCUGUGCUAAUGCCUAUGAGCCUCAUAGGAUUAGAGCAUUCCACUUUACUCCAUCCAUCAAUGUGUUUGCCCAAUAGAUUAGGGUGUACCCUGGAGACUUUCAAAAUCUAGGUUGUUUAUGUGUUAGGCUGGCUCAGGCCUGGCUCAUGCUAGUCUCCAAAUGCUUGAUUUGUUUGUUUUUACUAACUGGCCGCUAGUUCCUGAGUCAGUCAAUCAGGGCAGCGGCGGGGAAGGUGACCUUGGCUCUAGCCAACCCUUCUUGUGGAGUCCUCAGAUAAUUUGAAAUACUGAUUACUAUCUCACUGCAACAUGACCAGGAUGUGAAGUCUGGGCAAAGACUCAGGGCCAGCAAAUGAGAGGGAUUAAGGUUACUGCACUUGGCAGGGGCCUGAAAAAAUUAGAGGUCCAGAAUCCAGGAGGUCAAGAUGAAGUAUCAGUUAAAAAGACCGAAGACGGUCAAGGACUAGGCGAUGGGGAUAUGUGACUUGCCCAGGGGGACACACAACCAGGAAGCGUCUGCAGCCAUUUUCGAACUCAGAUCCCCUGCCUCCAGGGCUGCGCCUCUUAACAGGGAGGAGUAACGCCCAGCACAAGCUGCGUACUCAGCAGCACCAUGAAACAUCUAGAACCUAACUGAGUGACGCUUCCUUCAGAUCAGACACUAGGCAGUCCCCACAAAUAAGCGAGUCAAACGAACAAGCUUUGAGGAAGCGCUUACUG
rnacentral:lncRNA from 1 species